UGGGGAAUAUUGGACAAUGGGCGCAAGCCUGAUCCAGCCAUGCCGCGUGAGUGAUGAAGGCCCUAGGGUUGUAAAGCUCUUUCACCGGUGAAGAUAAUGACGGUAACCGGAGAAGAAGCCCCGGCUAACUUCGUGCCAGCAGCCGCGGUAAU
rnacentral:rRNA from 2 species